UACGUAGGGUGCGAGCGUUAAUCGGAAUUACUGGGCGUAAAGCGUGCGCAGGCGGUUCGUUGUGUCGGCGGUGAAAGCCCCGGGCUUAACCUGGGAAUGGCCGUUGAAACUGGCGAACUGGAGUGUGGCAGAGGGGGGUGGAAUUCCGGGUGUAGUGGUGAAAUGCGUAGAGAUCCGGAGGAACCCCAGAGGCGAAGGCGGCCCCCUGGCUCGUACCUGACGCUCAGCCACGAAAGCAUGGGGAGCGAACGGG
rnacentral:rRNA from 1 species